rnacentral:rRNA from 1 species
CAGUAGCCACGGGAAUACGUAGGUGGCAAGCGCUGUCCGGAAUUAUUGGGCGUAAAGGGCUCGCAGGCGGUUUCUUAAGUCUGAUGUGAAGGCCCCCGGCUCAACCGGGGAGGGUCAUUGGAAACUGGGAAACUUGAGUGCAGAAGAGGAGAGUGGAAUUCCACGUGUAGCGGUGAAAUGCGUAGAGAUGUGGAGGAACACCAGCGGCGAAGGCGACUCUCUGGUCUGUAACUGACGCUGAGGAGCGAAAGCGUGGGGAGCGAACAGGAUUAGAUACCCCGGUAGUCCCUGUCUCUUAUAC